UGUCAUUAAAUUGCAGUUUGUUGUUCAUAGUACGUGUUCAGUCUUGAAAAUAGCACGUAGACAAGUUGGUAGUUUGCUACGAUUAUGAAUGAGAAAAAGUACCUCAAAAUAUACAGACUGGCAUGUAUCGAGAUUUUCCAAAUACGAUUCGUCAAUUUGAUACUGUAUAAUUUGAUCAUCCUUUUGGCAAUUACGGCUAUAUUUCAGUGUGUUCUGUUUGUGCAGAAAUUUCAACUGGACUACUUUAUUCAGCUAGGACCUUCUUAUUUUUUAACAUUAUAUAUGCUAACCACCUUAAUUUACGUGCCUAUAUGCAAAAAAAUGGCACCGGAAUUUGUCCAGGACUUGAAAUUUGGGGAAAUACACAGUGACAGUGAUACAGUUUGCAAACAAAACGAAAAAGAAUUAGCUCACGCUGUUGCAUACAUGAUCAUUAGUUUCGUCCUUGCAGCGAUUUCUGGAAUCUUAUUUACCAUUCCAUCGGAAAAGGACCCAGAUAUAUUUUUUAUUUAUUCUUUGAUUCAACAACAUUUUCCAGAGUGGAAAUAUUUACUGACAUGGGGAUUUAAAUGUUCAGUAGUACCUUUGGCCUGUAUAACAACAAUGUCACCAGCACAUUACCUUAUUUACGGGUUAGUACACUUUAAAUUACAAGAAAACGUACUGCUGCACAACAUAGAAAACAUUAACGGAAAUUACGACAACGAUGAAUUUCUGGACCCGGAAUCGCAGAACGUCAUCAACGAAAGGUUGCUGUCCUGUUUGAAGCAUCACAUCAAAAUUUCCAGAGCUACUAGAACAGUUCUAAGAAAAACCAAAUAUUUGGUGCUUCCUUUAGUACUCGAAGGAUGUCUUAUGUUUAUAAAUAUUGUGAUCCACGUGUUUACGGUGGACGAAAUUCAAUCGCAAUUGUGGUGCUGGCAGUUGUUGUUGCUUACAUUGUGUUCGUUUUUCACGUUAGGUGGACUUAGUGCUUAUGGUCAGAAAAUUGAAGAUGCGGUUAGUCGGACGAUAUUUUUUAUCGGUUAGUGAACGUCAAGUGGUAUAACUGGAACCAAGAGAAUAAGAAACUGUAUUUAAUGUUUUUGACAAAUACCCAGAAACCUUUCAGACUGCAUUUCUCUGAGGAUGUUUCGAUUAAUUAUCGACAAGGUGUUGAGAUUGGUAAAACGUUCUUCACAUUCAUGUCUGUUGCAAAUCAGCUACAUAAGAAAGUUAAUCAUUAAUUAGAG